rnacentral:rRNA from 1 species
UACGUAGGGGGCAAGCGUUGUCCGGAUUCAUUGGGCGUAAAGAGCGUGUAGGCGGCCAGGUAGGUCGGUUGUGAAAACUGGAGGCUCAACCUUCAGAGGUCGACCGAAACCAUCUGGCUAGAGUCCGGGAGAGGAGAGUGGAAUUCCUGGUGUAGCGGUGAAAUGCGCAGAUAUCAGGAAGAACACCCGUGGCGAAAGCGGCUCUCUGGAACGGUACUGACGCUGAGACGCGAAAAGCGUGGGGGAGCGAACAGG